GACGAACGCUGGCGGCGUGCUUAACACAUGCAAGUCGAGCGAGGUCCAUCCAGUGGCAACACUGGGGAAGACCUAGCGGCGAACGGGUGAGUAACACGUGAGCAACCUGCCCCGAAGACUGGGAGUAACACCGGGAAACCGGUAGCUAAUACCGGAUGCCCUCACCGGGCCGCAUGACCUGGUGAGGAAAUGAAUUUUGUCUUCGGGAGGGGCGUCGCGGGCUAUCAGCUUGUUGGUGAGGUAACGGCUCACCAAGGCUACGACGGCUAGCUGGUCUGAGAGGACGAUCAGCCACACUGGGAC
rnacentral:rRNA from 1 species